AGGGGCCCAGGCAUCCGGGCUCCCCGCCCCCCUCCCCCCGGGGGGCCCAGGUGUCCGGGCCCCCUCCCCAGCCCUGGGGCAGCGCCGGUCCCACGCCGCUAUUUAAGGCUCGAGGCCGCGGUCGGUGGCCGCAGACGGGUUCCGGCGGCGCCUGGAUCUGCUCUGCCUGCAGGUGAGAGGGGGGCCCAGGCAUCCGGGUUUUGGGGGGGAUCGGGGUGUCCCCAGGCCAUGCCAUGUGCCCCAGGGUGCUGGGUUGGAGUCCCCAAGGUCUCAUGCUGGUGUCCCCAAGGUGCUGGUGUCCCCAGGGUGUCCCCAGGCUGUGCCAUGUGUCCCCAGGGUGCUGGGUCGGUGUCCCUGGGGUGUCCCCAGGGUGCUGGUGUCCCCAGGGUGUCCCCAGGCUGUGCCAUGUGUCCCCAGGGUGCUGGGUUGGUGUCCCGAGGGUCCCAUGCUGGUGUCCCCAGGGUGCUGGUGUUCCCAGGGUGUCCCCAGGCUGUGCCAUGUGUCCCCAGGGUGCUGGGUCGGUGUCCCUGGGGUGUCUCCAGGGUGUGCCUGGGUGCCAGGUCAGUGUCCCCAAGGUGUCCCCAGGGUGUCCCCAGGCUGUGCCAUGUGCCCCCAGGGUGCUGGAUUGGUGUCCCCAGGGUGUCCCUGGUGUCCCAUGCUGGUGUCCCCAGGCUGUGCCAUGUGUCCCCAGGGUCCUGGGUUGGUGUCCCCAGGCUGCUGGUGUCCCCAGGGUGUCCCCAUGCUGUGCCAUGUGCCCCCGGGUCGGUGUCCCCAGAGUGUCCCCCACUCGGUGCCUCGCUGGGGUUGCCGAUGUCCCCAGGGCGCCUCAUCGGUGUCCCCGGGGCUGUGGGUGUCCCCAGGCAUCCCCGCGGCACCAUGACUGUGACCUACCCGGCCCGCGUGGCCACUGCGCGAAGCUUCGGCGGCUUCUCGCGGCUGCUGCUGCCGCUCGGGCGCGGGAGCAUCUACAAGCUGCUCCACCGCGAGCUGCUGCCCUCCCUCGCCGCCCGCCUGGGGCUCAGCGUGGCCUGCCGGUGAGCACGGGGACGCACGGGGACGCACGGGGACGCACGAGGGUGCACGGGGACACACGGCCUCGCACGGGGACGGGACGUGGGGGGACACGCGGGGACGCCCGGGCUCCGCUGCGAGCUGCUGCCCUCCCUCGCUGCCCGCCUGGGGCUCAGCGUGGCCUGCCGGUGAGCACGGGGACGCACGGGGACGCACGGGGACGCACGAGGGUGCACGGGGACGCACGGCCUCGCACGGCGACGCACGAGACCAACGUCCUCAUCGAC
rnacentral:lncRNA from 1 species